rnacentral:rRNA from 1 species
GUGGGGAAUAUUGGACAAUGGGCGAAAGCCUGAUCCAGCCAUGCCGCGUGAGUGAUGAAGGCCUUAGGGUUGUAAAGCUCUUUCAGUAGGGAAGAUAAUGACGGUACCUACAGAAGAAGCCCCGGCUAACUUCGUGCCAGCAGCCGCGGUAAUACGAAGGGGGCUAGCGUUGUUCGGAAUUACUGGGCGUAAAGCGCACGUAGGCGGAUCGUUAAGUCGGGGGUGAAAUCCCGGGGCUCAACCCCGGAACUGCCUUCGAUACUGGCGAUCUAGAGUUCGAGAGAGGUGAGUGGAAUUCCGAGUGUAGAGGUGAAAUUCGUAGAUAUUCGGAGGAACACCAGUGGCGAAGGCGGCUCACUGGCUCGAUACUGACGCUGAGGUGCGAAAGCGUGGGGAGCAAACAGGAUUAGAAACCCGGGUAGUCC